GGUUUGAUGGCGUAGUCGAUUAUUGCAUCUAUCUAACAUAGAUGCUAUAUAGAAGCUGCCGGUUCGAACCCGGGUCGAAUCA